rnacentral:rRNA from 1 species
UACGAAGGGUGCAAGCGUUACUCGGAAUUACUGGGCGUAAAGCGUGCGUAGGUGGUUUGUUACGUCUGCUGUGAAAACCUAGGGCUUAACCCUGAGCUUGCAGUGGAUACGGGCAGACUAGAGGUAGGUAGGGGAGAAUGGAAUUCCUGGUGUAGCGGUGAAAUGCGCAGAUAUCAGGAGGAACACCGGUGGCGAAGGCGGGUCUCUGGGCAGUAACUGACGCUGAGGAGCGAAAGCGUGGGUAGCAAACAGG